rnacentral:rRNA from 1 species
AUUGAACGCUGGCGGCAUGCCUUACACAUGCAAGUCGAACGGUAACGCGGGGCAACCUGGCGACGAGUGGCGAACGGGUGAGUAAAGCAUCGGAACGUGCCCAAUAGUGGGGGAUAGCCCGGCGAAAGCCGGAUUAAUACCGCAUACGACCUGAGGGUGAAAGCGGGGGAUCGCAAGACCUCGCGCUGAUGGAGCGGCCGAUGUCAGAUUAGGUAGUUGGUGGGGUAAAGGCCUACCAAGCCGACGAUCUGUAGCUGGUCUGAGAGGACGACCAGCCACACUGGGACUGAGACACGGCCCAGACUCCUACGGGAGGCAGCAGUGGGGAAUUUUGGACAAUGGGGGAAACCCUGAUCCAGCCAUGCCGCGUGCGGGAAGAAGGCCUUCGGGUUGUAAACCGCUUUUGUCGGGGAAGAAAUCCCUCAGGCUAAUACCUUGAGGGGAUGACGGUACCCGAAGAAUAAGCACCGGCUAACUACGUGCCAGCCGCCGCCGUAA